rnacentral:rRNA from 1 species
GUGCCAGCCGCCGCGGUAAUACGUAGGCAGCGAGCGUUGUUCGGAGUUACUGGGCGUAAAGAGUAUGUAGGCGGUUUUGUAAGUUCGGUGUGAAAUCUCCCGGCUCAACUGGGAGGGUGCGCCGAAAACUGCAAGGCUAGAGUGUGGGAGAGGAAAGCGGAAUUCCUGGUGUAGCGGUGAAAUGCGUAGAUAUCAGGAGGAACACCAGCGGUGUAGACGGCUUUCUGGACCAUUACUGACGCUGAGAUACGAAAGCGUGGGGAGCAAACAGGAUUAGAAACCCGGGUAGUCC